UUAAAUUGAAGAGUUUGAUCAUGGCUCAGAUUGAACGCUGGCGGCAGGCCUAACACAUGCAAGUCGAACGGUAACAGGAAGAAGCUUGCUUCUUUGCUGACGAGUGGCGGACGGGUGAGUAAUGUCUGGGAAACUGCCUGAUGGAGAGGGAUAACUACUGGAAACGGUAGCUAAUACCGCAUAACGUCGCAAGACCAAAGAGGGGGACCUUUGGGCCUCUUGCCAUCGGAUGUGCCCAGAUGGGAUUAGCUAGUAGGUGGGGUAACGGCUCACCUAGGCGACGAUCCCUAGCUGGUCUGAGAGGAUGACCAGCCACACUGGAACUGAGACACGGUCCAGACUCCUACGGGAGGCAGCAGUGGGGAAUAUUGCACAAUGGGCGCAAGCCUGAUGCAGCCAUGCCGCGUGUAUGAAGAAGGCCUUCGGGUUGUAAAGUACUUUCAGCGGGGAGGAAGGGAGUAAAGUUAAUACCUUUGCUCAUUGACGUUACCCGCAGAAGAAGCACCGGCUAACUCCGUGCCAGCAGCCGCGGUAAUACGGAGGGUGCAAGCGUUAAUCGGAAUUACUGGGCGUAAAGCGCACGCAGGCGGUUUGUUAAGUCAGAUGUGAAAUCCCCGGGCUCAACCUGGGAACUGCAUCUGAUACUGGCAAGCUUGAGUCUCGUAGAGGGGGGUAGAAUUCCAAGUGUAGCGGUGAAAUGCGUAGAGAUCUGGAGGAAUACCGGUGGCGAAGGCGGCCCCCUGGACGAAGACUGACGCUCAGGUGCGAAAGCGUGGGGAGCAAACAGGAUUAGAUACCCUGGUAGUCCACGCCGUAAACGAUGUCGACUUGGAGGUUGUGCCCUUGAGGCGUGGCUUCCGGAGCUAACGCGUUAAGUCGACCGCCUGGGGAGUACGGCCGCAAGGUUAAAACUCAAAUGAAUUGACGGGGGCCCGCACAAGCGGUGGAGCAUGUGGUUUAAUUCGAUGCAACGCGAAGAACCUUACCUGGUCUUGACAUCCACGGAAGUUUUCAGAGAUGAGAAUGUGCCUUCGGGAACCGUGAGACAGGUGCUGCAUGGCUGUCGUCAGCUCGUGUUGUGAAAUGUUGGGUUAAGUCCCGCAACGAGCGCAACCCUUAUCCUUUGUUGCCAGCGGUCCGGCCGGGAACUCAAAGGAGACUGCCAGUGAUAAACUGGAGGAAGGUGGGGAUGACGUCAAGUCAUCAUGGCCCUUACGACCAGGGCUACACACGUGCUACAAUGGCGCAUACAAAGAGAAGCGACCUCGCGAGAGCAAGCGGACCUCAUAAAGUGCGUCGUAGUCCGGAUUGGAGUCUGCAACUCGACUCCAUGAAGUCGGAAUCGCUAGUAAUCGUGGAUCAGAAUGCCACGGUGAAUACGUUCCCGGGCCUUGUACACACCGCCCGUCACACCAUGGGAGUGGGUUGCAAAAGAAGUAGGUAGCUUAACCUUCGGGAGGGCGCUUACCACUUUGUGAUUCAUGACUGGGGUGAAGUCGUAACAAGGUAACCGUAGGGGAACCUGCGGUUGGAUCACCUCCUUACCUUAAAGAA
rnacentral:rRNA from 1 species